AUUGAACGCUGGCGGCAUGCCUUACACAUGCAAGUCGAACGGUAACGGGCCUUCGGGUGCCGACGAGUGGCGAACGGGUGAGUAAUGCAUCGGAACGUACCUUUCAGUGGGGGAUAACGUAGCGAAAGUUACGCUAAUACCGCAUAUUCUGUGAGCAGGAAAGCAGGGGAUCGCAAGACCUUGCGCUGAUUGAGCGGCCGAUGUCAGAUUAGCUAGUUGGUGAGGUAAAGGCUCACCAAGGCGACGAUCUGUAGCGGGUCUGAGAGGAUGAUCCGCCACACUGGAACUGAGACACGGUCCAGACUCCUACGGGAGGCAGCAGUGGGGAAUUUUGGACAAUGGGCGCAAGCCUGAUCCAGCCAUGCCGCGUGCGGGAAGAAGGCCUCGGUGUAACCGACUUUGUCUAGGGAAGAAACGGACUACU
rnacentral:rRNA from 1 species